GCAUUGGUGGCCCAGUGGUAGAGCUCCCGCCUGCCACGCCGGCAGCCCGGGUUCAUAACCCCAAAACCCAGCCACUGGG
rnacentral:tRNA from 1 species